GGACGAACGCUGGCGGCGUGCCUAACACAUGCAAGUCGAGCGAGGAGAUUCCUCGGGAUGAUCCUAGCGGCGGACGGGUGAGUAACACGUGGGCAACCUGCCUCAUAGAGAGGAAUAGCCUUCCGAAAGGGAGAUUAAUACCUCAUAACAUUGCAGUUUCGCAUGGAACAGCAAUUAAAGGAGCAAUCCGCUAUGAGAUGGGCCCGCGGCGCAUUAGCUAGUUGGUGAGGUAACGGCUCACCAAGGCGACGAUGCGUAGCCGACCUGAGAGGGUGAUCGGCCACAUUGGGACUGAGACACGGCCCAGACUCCUACGGGAGGCAGCAGUGGGGAAUAUUGCACAAUGGGGGAAACCCUGAUGCCAGCAACGCCGCGUGAGUGAUGACGGCCUUCGGGUUGUAAAGCUCUGUCUUCAGGGACGAUAAUGACGGUACCUGAGGAGGAAGCCACGGCUAACUACGUGCCAGCCGCCGC
rnacentral:rRNA from 1 species